rnacentral:tRNA from 1 species
GGGCGAGUGGCGGAAUGGUAUACGCGACAGUCUCAAAAACUGUUAGUUGUAAUGACUAUAAGGGUUCGAGUCCCUUCUCGCCCA